UUGCCAUGGCGGACACGAUGGAGGCGAUGCGGUGGACUCCAUGUGACGGGGACGUCGGUGGCGCAAGGUAGACGCCGUUGGUGGCGUGAUGCUGCUAGCGGCUGGUGUGUGUCUUCAUCAUCGUCGAGCUGCGUCACGAGUGAUGGAGAAAGGUAUGCUGCGAGGUAAGUUGUGUCACCGGCCGCAAGGAGGUGAUGGCCAUGGAGCGGAGGCCAUUGCCGUGAGGAGUUCCAUGUGCGAGUCAUCGACAAGGUGUGUCA
rnacentral:lncRNA from 1 species